rnacentral:rRNA from 1 species
GACGAACGCUGGCGGCGUGCUUAACACAUGCAAGUCGAACGGAAAGGCCCUGCUUUGUGGGUGCUCGAGUGGCGAACGGUGAGUAACACGUGAGUAACCUGCCCUUGACUUUGGGAUAACUUCAGGAAACUGGGGCUAAUACCGGAUAGGAGCUCCUGCUGCAUGGUGGGGUUGGAAAGUUUCGGCGGUUGGGAUGGACUCGCGGCUUAUCAGCUUGUUGGUGGGGUAGUGGCUUACCAAGGCUUUGACGGGUAGCCGGCCUGAGAGGUGACCGGCCACAUUGGGACUGAGAUACGGCCCAGACUCCUACGGGAGGCAGCAGUGGGGAAUAUUGCACAAUGGGCGGAAGCCUGAUGCAGCAA